AUUGAACGCUGGCGGCAUGCCUUACACAUGCAAGUCGAACGGCAGCACGGGCUUCGGUCUGGUGGCGAGUGGCGAACGGGUGAGUAAUGUAUCGGAACGUACCAUUGAGUGGGGGAUAACGUAGCGAAAGUUACGCUAAUACCGCAUAUUCUCUUCGGAGGAAAGCAGGGGACCGCCAGGCCUUGCGCUCUUUGAGCGGCAGAUAUCAGAUUAGCUAGUUGGUGGGGUAAAAGCCCACCAAGGCGACGAUCUGUAGCGGGUCUGAGAGGAUGAUCCGCCACACUGGAACUGAGCCACGGUCCAGACUCCUACGGGAGGCAGCAGUGGGGAAUUUUGGACAAUGGGGGCAACCCUGAUCCAGCCCUGCCGCGUGAGGGAAGAAGGCCUUCGGGUUGUAAAGCUCUUUCGGCCGGGAAAAAAUCGCAUAGAUUAAUACUCUGUGUGGAUGAUGGUACCGGAAUAAGAAGCACCGGCUAACUACUUGCCAGCAGCCGCCGUAA
rnacentral:rRNA from 1 species